UACAGAGGGGGCGAGCGUUGUUCGGAAUUACUGGGCGUAAAGGGCGCGUAGGCGGCCCGCUAAGUCGAACGUGAAAUCCCCAGGCUCAACCUGGGAACUGCGUCCGAUACUGGCAGGCUUGAAUCCGGGAGAGGGAUGUGGAAUUCCAGGUGUAGCGGUGAAAUGCGUAGAUAUCUGGAGGAACACCGGUGGCGAAGGCGGCAUCCUGGACCAACAUUGACGCUGAGGAGCGAAAGCUAGGGGAGCAAACGGG
rnacentral:rRNA from 1 species